UACGUAGGGGGCAAGCGUUGUCCGGAAUUAUUGGGCGUAAAGAGCGUGUAGGCGGCCAGAUAAGUCCGCUGUGAAAUCUCGAGGCUCAACUUCGAGCUGUCGGUGGAAACUAUCUGGCUAGAGUCUGGAAGAGGAGAAUGGAAUUCCUGGUGUAGCGGUGGAAUGCGCAGAUAUCAGGAAGAACACCCGUGGCGAAGGCGGUUCUCUGGGACGGUACUGACGCUGAGACGCGAAAGCGUGGGGAGCGAACAGG
rnacentral:rRNA from 1 species